rnacentral:tRNA from 1 species
GGGGAGCUCUGCUAGCUUGGUAGGCUUCGGCCUUCGGGAGGCCGCGACCCGUGUUCAAAUCACGGGCUCCCCG